rnacentral:rRNA from 1 species
UUUAUGGAGAGUUUGAUCCUGGCUCAGGAUGAACGCUGGCGGCGUGCCUAAUACAUGCAAGUCGAGCGAACGGACGAGAAGCUUGCUUCUCUGAUGUUAGCGGCGGACGGGUGAGUAACACGUGGAUAACCUACCUAUAAGACUGGGAUAACUUCGGGAAACCGGAGCUAAUACCGGAUGAUAUUUUGAACCGCAUGGUUCAAAAGUGAAAGACGGUCUUGCUGUCACUUAUAGAUGGAUCCGCGCUGCAUUAGCUAGUUGGUAAGGUAACGGCUUACCAAGGCAACGAUGCAUAGCCGACCUGAGAGGGUGAUCGGCCACACUGGAACUGAGACACGGUCCAGACUCCUACGGGAGGCAGCAGUAGGGAAUCUUCCGCAAUGGGCGAAAGCCUGACGGAGCAAUGCCGCGUGAGUGAUGAAGGUCUUCGGAUCGUAAAACUCUGUUAUUAGGGAAGAACAUAUGUGUAAGUAACUGUGCACAUCUUGACGGUACCUAAUCAGAAAGCCACGGCUAACUACGUGCCAGCAGCCGCGGUAAUACGUAGGUGGCAAGCGUUAUCCGGAAUUAUUGGGCGUAAAGCGCGC